GGGAAGGUGGCUCAGUGGUAGAGUGCUUGCUUUGCAUGCGUGAGGCCCUGGGUUCGAUUCCUCAGCACCCCA
rnacentral:tRNA from 1 species